rnacentral:rRNA from 1 species
UACGGAGGAUGCAAGCGUUAUCCGGAUUUAUUUGGUUUAAAGGGUCCGUAGGCGGGCUAAUAAGUCAGUGGUGAAAUCGAGCAGCUUAACUGUUCAACUGCCAUUGAAACUGUUGGUCUUGAGUGAAUUUGAAGUUGCCGGAAUAUGUAGUGUAGCGGUGAAAUGCAUAGAUAUUACAUAGAACACCAAUUGCGAAGGCAGGUAACUAAGAUUUAACUGACGCUGAUGGACGAAAGCGUGGGGAGCGAACAGGAUUAGAUACCCGGGUAGU